rnacentral:rRNA from 1 species
AACGACUCUCGGCAACGGAUAUCUCGGCUCACGCAUCGAUGAAGAACGUAGCAAAAUGCGAUACUUGGUGUGAAUUGCAGAAUCCCGUGAACCAUCGAGUUUUUGAACGCAAGUUGCGCCCGAAGCCAUUGGCUGAGGGCACGUCUGCCUGGGCGUCACGC